CUGUUACAACACGAAAAACGAAGUUACUGUUACAAAUAAAAGUAAGAUGAUUGAUUAUUUUGUGCAGAAUAUGAAUGGAGUUGGAACUGUGAUUAGUGAACAUUUAUGCAGGGACUGCUUUAGUCCCAAACUGUUUUACUGAAUUUUCCAGAACUUUCAAAACUAUGUUUCUUUGCAUUACUAAAAAAUUUAAGAGAAAAAAACCUAUAAUAAGGCAGGACAAUUUUGAAAUAAUUGAACAAUUUCCAUUAACUGUUCAAAGUGGACAGCUAGCUUCAACAGGAAAAAGAGGAAGGUAAACACCACUUAUGACAAGAGCACAUAAUCUGACAUACUAAAUUCAAGCUUCCAAACACUUAUAUUAUUGGCUUAAAGGGGUCACCUGAUGGGAAGUCCUACAAUUCUGAGCUAAAGGUUCUUCCAAUACUCAUAGGAGGCUAUUUUAUUUUCAGGGUAACCAACUAAACAAAGUUUUAUCACAUAUAUAUGACUAGAGAAGAUAGAAAGUAUCUUUCUAACCUAUGAAUUUAACAUGCUGGUACCUUGAAGAGAUAAUGCUCCAAAUAUUAUGCACAAAAUAUAGACAAGGUAAUCCUUACCAGGAUCUUUCUCCGAUGGCUUCAAUAUAAAGGUGUUACCACAUGUUACAGCAACAGGGAACAUCUGCAGCCAAAAAGGAGCACACAUUUUUAAAUUUUUUUUUUCUCUGGAAACUCAAGAUUUGCUCACAAAUCAGAAAAUCUUUAUAUGUUUGUACACUUGUGAAACAUGAUCAACUUCAAGAUGAAGCUAGAAGUUGGCCCAGUUAACUGCAUCCUUUCAUCUUAAGAAAAAGAUUUAAGUUACAUCUUUGUAAUAAUGAUAUAGCAGGCAUCCCAAAUGCAUGGACAGAAAAAAUUGCGAAGAAUACUGAAGGCUUACCCAUAAGGGAAUCAUUGCUGGGAAGUUGAAAGGGCAAAUCCCAGCACAUACACCAAGUGGCUCUCUGAUGCUAAAGGUAUCAAUUCCAUUUGACACAUUAGGGACAUACUCACCCAUCUGCAAAGUCGCCAUUCCACAAGCAUGUUCCACCACCUCUAUAAGAGAAAAAAUUCAAAAUUGAGAGAGCAUAUAUGCAAUCAACUACAAUUUUGAACCAAAAGAGACUUUAGGAACAGUAAAUAAAUAAAUAAAAGACUAACCUAGCCCACGGAACACAUCACCAUGAGCAUCCUUCAAGGUCUUCCCCUGUUCAGUAGUAAUAUUCAUCGCAAGCUUAUCCUAGAACAAGAUCACAGUAAUUCUAACCAUCAAACGAAACCUAUUAAAAAAUAAUACAGAUAAAAAGCAACAAUGACGAAAAAUUCUAGCAUGCUUACAAUGUCUCUACGAAUAAGCUCUUGGAGCUUGAGCAUGACACGCUGACGAGUCGUAAUUGGCGUGUUACGCCACGCCGGAAAAGCCUGCUUUGCUGCAGAGACUGCAGCUCUGAACUCUUCGUUCGUAGUAAAAGGAACCCGUGACACGGCUUCUUGUGUUGCCUAACCCCAUAUACCAAUCCAUUAAACCCAAAACAAGUUUCAAUCAUCACUAAAAACAAAGAAAAACAUAGUAACAAUAAUAAUAUAUACUCACAGGAUUUAUCACAUCAAUGGUUGAAGAUGAUUGCGAAUCAACGAAUUUUCCUCCAAUAAGAUUGGGGACUCUCUGAUACAGCACACAAACUUGUAAGAAAUUAUAAAACAGAAGAAAAGUUUCUCGAGUUUUUGAAGAACUUCCUGAGAAACCAAACAGACCAUAAAGCACCGAACAUAUGCGUGUGUACGUAUAGAUUUAUAAUGGGUAUAUUACCGGAGGGCUAGGUAGGCUUGAAGAAGGCUCAGCUGCACCAGUAGAGAAACAAUAAGAGCUUCUUAAAGCAAAGAUCGAAGGCUUCAAGGCCUUUAGAUUUCUCGCUGAAACACCAAAAGAAAAGGAAUCAAAAUAAAUCAAUUUUGUAACAAAUAAAAUAAAACAGAUGAUUGAUGAUUAGUUACGCGCAAGUUGCUUACCUCGUUGAAUCGAGGAUCGAAGAAGCAACAUCGUUUUUCUUUUUGUUUCUACUUGCUUUGAUUCAGUGACUCUUUGACGACACUGUUUUUAGUUUAGGCGAAAUGUCUGUUUCUUCAAGAGGAUGUCACAUAGUAUAAUCCUUUUUUAAAUGCAUGCCUACUUGUUAUACUGCGAGAGUGAUUAGUGUUAUGACUAGAUUUUUCUCCCGCAAGUUAAAUCAUGCUGAUCUUAGAAAACAGUGACAUCAUGACAAACAAAAAUUUUAAUCAUGAAAAAUUAAAAAUAAAAUAGUAAUUCAAAUAAUAAAGAUAAAAUCUGUUAUAAAAACCAAUAAAAAAAUAACAAGGAAUUAAAUUGAAAAAUUAAAAAAACCAAAAUUAAAUAAAAAAUAAAUGAAAUAAAAUGUUAAGGAAUAAAAUAAAAAAAAAUUAAAAAAAUGAUAUAAAAAAAGAAAUUAAAAAAAUAACAACCAAAUUGGAUAAACAUAAAUGAAAUAAAAUAUCAAGAGAAAAAAUUAAAAAAAAUAAAAAAAAUAAAAAAAAAUAUAUUAAUUAAAAGAAUAAGUAUCAUAUUUGAUAUAAAAAUUAAAUAAAAUUAAAUGAAAAUUAAUAAAAUUAAAAAAAAAUCCAAAAUAAAUAAUAUAUUAGAAAAAAAAGAGCCACAGUUGAAAGACAAAAAAAUGGGAAGACAACUUUGUAUUUUGGCUAUCCAGCGCGGAUUUCAAGAAGAGAAGAGAGGGAAGAAAAAAAAAUCUCACCAUUGCAAAUUUCACUACACACGCCGUCAUUGGACAUUUUAAAUGACAAGGCAGUUGGGCUUUCUUGGACGCCAAAAGUCGCCGCAUGUACUGUCCAAAAAGCAUGGGUAGCGUUUACUCAUGGGCACGUGUAUUACAUCUAUCAGUUACUUUUUCUUUUUAUUUAUUAUUUUUAUUUGUUAAAAGAUUAAUUCAUCUCUAAUUCAAAUAGAUUAUAAUAAAAAAAAAUCAUGAUGAAACAAUGAAACUACUCCUCCACGUCUUCUUUAAUUUUUUGACUUGAAAAGCCAUAAUUUUACUAUUUUUAAAAAAUAAAAUGACGCUGAAGCUCCUCUUAACCUUUCAUCAUUUGUUUUUGAUUUUUAAAAGCAUUUAUAUCAUUUAACUUGGCAAAAACAAAAAAAUGAUAAACAAUUAUAAUCACGGUUAAUUUUAUAAUGACAAAUAAAGUCAUCAGAAAAGAUAAUUUUAACCUCGAAGAACGAUCAUUUGAUUUUUUCCUAUUGGAUUGGUAGGGAAAAUCAUAUAGUUUUGGCAGCCAUUGUCUGGAAUAUUGUUGGGGAAAAUCAAUAUGGUUGGUAUUUGCAGAAUUGAACUUUCACAUCUGGGACCCUUCUCUGGAUAAAUCUUUCCCGGCACAUUGAGGUUGAGUUCUUCAGCAUUUUUUGUCCCUGAAUGCACUUGAACACAAAAAGCUCCGGCAUGAUAGUUCUUUGAGUUUGUUUAACCCCUUUCACAGGGCAUUGCCUGGAUUCUUUUCCCUCAUUAUUUCCUUCAUGCUUCACCGUUUUUUAAAGCUUGUAUGGCUCUCUACCUCUCUGAUUUCUUCCAUGUUGCUUUCGAGUGGCUUUCAACAAGGCAAGUCUCUCUUCCUUCCCCUCAUUCAACAAGCCAUCUGACUCUGUUUCUUUCUUUAUAGUCUUUUUGUGUUGAUGAUUUGUUUCUCUUCUCUGUCUCGAAACCAUUCCAAUGGUUAUUUGCGUUCAUUCUGCUCGCUUUAUGCCAUGCUCUUUGAUGUUUUAAGUUUGUAAUUCUUUGCCAUCUAUUAGCUUAUGUGAUGAGUAUAUUCCAAGAAUAUCUACCUUCUCAGAAUAUAUAUGAAGUUAUAUAUAUUUUGAAAUAGAAUUAUAAUUAAUCAACAAUUAUUUUGUUAAUGCUGUUGGCUUUUGCUUAGCUAUAGUAUCUGCUUUUGCUGUAAUUGUGACGGUAAUUAUUGCUUUUGACAUCUGUUUAAUAAAAAAAUAAUGGUAAAAAAUGCUGUACAUUAAUUGUAACCGUUGACUACAAGCACAAAAUUCAUAGAGUAUGCUAACGACAAAGAAACCUUGCUCGUGCACUUCGCCAUCCCUGCCAGAAUCCAUGAAAAAACCUACAAGGAGAGGUCGAAGCAAGCCAGGAUGCAUGAAUUUACUUCUCAAAACUUCACCGUUUUACAAUGCAGUUUUUAUACACACACGAAUAUACAUAUUUUAUAUUUUUUUACUCAUCCUAAUGCUUUUUUAAUUAACAUAAAUUAUAAAAAAAAUAUAAAAUAAAUCAUAUUUUAUUUAAUCAACUAAUUCUCUUCAACAAUGAUUUAAUAAUAUGAUAGAAUAGAAAUACAAUCAUAAAAGAAUCUCAUGUAUUAGUUCUUAGUAAAGAUAAAAUGCUAAAAGUUCACAAAAAUUUAUAAUAUAUUUUAUUAUAUAAAUAAAAAAAAUGAGAGAUUAAAUAAAGUAAAUUAUCAUAAAAACUCAAAAAUAAUAACAUAAAGAAGGUAUAUGGACCAAAGUUGAGCUCAUAAAAAAUUCAGCUUUGUCCAAUCUGACUUGGAUCAAGGUCCAAGACAGCACGGCCGAUUAUAUAAAUCAUGUUUUAAAAUUCAUGCAAUCAUGUUUGGGUUUCGACACAUAAGCAUCAUUAAGCUUUAAAAUCUUUUUUUUUUUACCAUCAAAAAAUAAAAUUUAAAAUUUAUAGUUCUUAAAAUUCAAAUAAGCUUAUCUCCAUACUCUAGAGAUAAAAUGGUUGAACGUUGAUGUGGAUUGAGUCUUACGUUUAAAAACCAAUGUUAAGAUUCCUAUUCCUUGUGUCCAGGUCAUGCCCGCGUGCAUUGACUUUUUUUUCACUUUAUAUAUACAAGUGGCUAAUUUAUUACAAUAUUAUUCUUCACUGUCGACUACAACAGUAAUUCAUAUUUUUUUUUUACUAUUUUUUUUUUUUUUUUCAAAAUUACUUUUUUUUUCAACUUUCCUAUUUUUUCUUUUUUUUUUCAUUUAUUUUUUCUUUUGUUUUUUCCAAAAUUAUUUUUUUAUUUUACUUUUUAAAUAUUGAUCUGAUUAAAAUUUUUGCUUUGUAAUUUUUUUCUUUAAAAUACUGUGGAUUGAUGCGAUGUUUUUCCACAUAAUUUUUCUAUUUUAUCUCUUUAUUUUUCAAAAUUAUAUUUGUCGAUUUUUUUUUAAUAUGGAGCUGAUUGAAAAUUUAGUUUUGUAAUUUUUUUUCUUUUAAACAUCGUUGAUUGCUACAGUGUUGUCAAUUUUAUCUUUUUAAUAUUAAGCUGUUUAAGAAUUGCAAUUACAAGUAAAUACAAGUUUUUCCUCACAAAACAUUAUGGAUUGAUACAGUUUUUCCUCACAUGGUUUUUUUCCAGUUUCUUUUGUGUUUUCUUUUUUUGUAAUAUUUUUUUCCAAAAUUAUCUUCGUCGAUUUUAUUUUUUUUAAUAUUGAAUUGGUUAAAAUUUAAUUUUGUAAUAAAGCUUAAUCAUGUGGGGAAAACAUUGUAACUUUUCUCAUAGAACAUUGUGGAUUGCUACAGUGUCUCUCCGCAUAGUUUUUUUUGUUAUAAUUUUUUUCAAAUUAUCUUUUUUAAUUUUAUUUUUUUAAUAUUGAGUUAUUUGUGAAUUACAAUUACAAGUCAUUACAAAUAAGGCUAAAUCAUGUGGAGAAGCACUGUAGCUUUCAUCACAAAACACUAUGAAUUGCUACAGUGUUUCCAACAUGAUUUUUUUUCCUUUUUUUGGUGUUUGUUUUGUUAUUUUUUUUUAAAUUGUCCCUGUUUUUUUUUUUUAAUAUUGAGCUGAUUAAGAAUUUAGCUUUGUAAUUUUUUUUCUUUAAAACACUGUGAAUUGUUGCAGUGUUUUCUCAUGUGAUUUUUUUAUGAUUUUUUCCAAAAUUAUCUUUGUCGAUUUUUUUUUUAAUAUUGAGUUGGUUAAGAAUUAUAAUUACAAUAAAGCUAAAUCAUAUGAGGAAAGCGUUGUAGUUUUUCUCACAAAACACUGUGGAUUGCUACAAUAUUUCUCUAAAUGGUUUUUUAUUUUAUUUUAUUGGGAAAAGUGCUAUAGUUUUCCUCACAAAACAUUGUCAAUUGCUGCAACGUUUUUUCUCAUGGGUUUUUUUCCUUCCAAAAUUAUCUUUGUUGGUUUUUUUUUAAUAUUAAGUCGGUAGAGAAUUUAGCUUUGUAAUUUUUUUUGCUUUUUAUUAACUGAAAAGCUAAAUCAUGUGGCGAAAGCACUGUAUUUUUCCUCACAAAACACUGUAGAUUGCUACAAAUCAUUUUGUUCAGUCUUUAAGUUUUUGAUCACCAACACAACUUUUUUUUCCGUCAUGAAAUAUUUGCUCCAUCAUACCUUUAAUUUCUAUUACUUAUCUAGUGUUGGUUCACAAUUAUAACACUAUCAAGUACAUUUGUUUUAUAAGCCCGUGGCAGCGCGCGGACAUGUCAUCUCGUUAAAGAACUCUAAAAGGCGUGGGGAAAGCACUGUGCUUUCCCCACGCCUUUUAACUUUCCCCAUUAUUAUAAUUAUAUAAUUAUAUUAUUAUUAUAUUAUUAUUAUUAUCAUAUUAUAACAUAUCCUAAAAAAUACUGUAGCUAUUUUUUUUGUUUUUAUUUUUUUUAUUAUUUUUCUUCUAAUGAAUUUUUUUUUAAUUUAGUUUGUUAAUGUUAAAUUUUUUUUAUUGAGUUAUCAGACUUUCAUGAUACGGAUCCCGGGUUUAAUGGGUUAACCUGGUUUGAUGAGUUAACCCGGAAUUGUUUUUCUUUUUAAUUAAUUUUUUUCGUUUAGUUUAGUUUGUUAAUGUUAAAUUUCUUUCUAUUUAAUUAUCAGAUUUUCAUGACACGUAUCCCGGGCUUGACGAGUUAACUUGGUUUGACGGGUUAACCCAGUUAAUUCUGGGUAAACCCGUUAGUUUUUUUUUCUAUUUAGUUAGCAAACUUUAAUGACGCGGAUCCCAAGUUUGACGGGUUAACCUGGUUUGAAGGAUUAACCCAAUUAAUUCAGAUUUUUUUUCUUUUUCUUCAUUAGUUUUUUUUUCUUUGGUUUUUUUCUUUUUAAUUAAUAUAUUUAAUUAUCACACUUUUAUUGCACGACCUUAUAGCUAGACUCACAUCCAAUGCUCUUGGAUUCGGUGUUGCAGCCAGACUCACUUAAACUUAAGUUAUGUAAGUUUAAUAUUAUUAUUGAUAUUAUAAAUAUUACUCUUGGGUCAAGCGUUGUAGCCAAAGCCAAGAUUCUUGGGUAUGACUUUGCAGAAAGACCUAACAUUUUUAAAUCUUAAAUUUUUAAAUAUUUUUUAUGUUAAAAAAAUUUAACCCGCGGCAUCGCGCGGGUCAUGUAACUAGUAAAUUUUUAAACAGAGUGAACUUAAACUGUUCAAUUGGACACGAAUUUGUACUCAGUUUCAAAGAAAAUCAAUUUCAGAAAAGACGUCAAAAUUGAUCAGUACAAAAAAAAGGGCAAAAUUAAAUGUUUUUACUGGAUAAGAAUCUCAAAUUAAUUACACUGGUCAUCAAUUUAACCUUCGUGUAGAAGCAUGGCAGAUGCUGAAGAAGGUGCGGUGAACUGGGAAGAAUUAGUGUUGUAACUAUAACUUGAAGAUUUGUUCAUCCCUCCUUCAGAAUCUGUUAAGGCCAUAGGACAUUAUUGAAAGUGAAGAUGCAGAUAUUGGCGGGGCGAAAUAUGAUGGCACGGGCAUCUUUGAUGGGAGAAUAGGCAAUGGAGCAUCAAAAUUAAGUACGUGAAGUGCUUGCCGAAUUGAGGGUCUAAGAUGUUCAUCCGGAUGAGCACACGAAAGGCCGACAAUCAUCAAGCGUUCCAUCUGCGUCUUGUUAAAAUCUCCGCAUAGUCUUGGGUCAACUGCUUCAAGUAGCUUUCCUUCACCAUAGAGCUCCCAAACCCACUGCACCAUGGACACUCGAUCUUCAUUACUGGCCUUUGGGUUGAUAGGUUUUCUUCCACAAGCUAUCUCCAAUGCAACAAUUCCAAAACUGUAAACAUCUGACUCUCUGCUAGCCUUGCCUGUCAUUGCACACUCUGGAGCCAUGUAGCCCAUAGUCCCUGCCAAAACUGUUGUUUGAGAACCUUUUCCAUGGUCCACAAGCCUAGCCAAACCAAAAUCCCCAAGCUUAGCAUUGAAUUCUGAGUCCAAAAUAAUGUUGCUAGACUUUAUAUCUCUAUGCACCACACAUUGUUCCCAUUCUUCAUGCAAGUACAACAGCCCCGAUGCCAAGCCUUGCACGAUUUUGUACCUCACCUCCCAUGUCAACAAGCUAGUUUCUUUGAAAAGAUGGGAGUCUAAGCUGCCAUGAGACAUGAAUUCGUAAACAAGUAAAAGCUCCUUUCUUUCAUGACACCAACCAAUGAGUUGGACUAAGUUUCUGUGCCUCAAUCGGCUAAUGAUCUUUACCUCUGCUGCAUAUUCUUUAAUCCCUUGUUUAGAACCUCUUGAUACUCUCUUCACCGCAACGAAUGAAUCAAUGUCCUUCAAAAAACCUUUAUAGACACCACCGAACCCACCCUCACCUAGCUUCUCUUCAUCCUUGAAGUUACUUGUAGCUCGAGCCAAUUCUUGGUAAGAGAACUUCUUUGGUCCUGUUCCCCUUUCAAAUUCUUCAUCCAUGUACUCUUCAACGACAUGACCACCUUCUUCAUCUUCUUCGUGCCCACACAUAAACUUAAUAACAAACCCAACCAAAGCGGCCCCAACAACUAUAGCACCACCCCCAACACCCAAUCCAACUGCCAGUCCUGUCCUGUUCUUUUUCCGAUUCCUACGUGAACCACCAUUUGGCGGAGAAGCUGCAGCUGGAUCUAAUGUAUUGGUAUCUGGAUCUAUUGGAUUGGUAACAUUAUCAUCAAUUUCUAAUCUUGAACUAAAAUCCCACGAGUAAAGGGUAUGUAGGGCAGAUGCACUUCCUGUUGAAGCCGAAAAGCCAAAACUAACUCUUUCUGGUAGGUAAUCCCUCAAGCUAACUAUUUGACUAAGGAAUUGCAUUUCUACAGUGUUAUUUCUAUAACCGGUGAAGGCGACACUCAGAUUAUGUGUACUUGAACUAUAACUAAUCCAAGCGUCAGUUUUUAUCCCUCCACUAAUAUUACACAGCCAAGUAAUAUUAUUUACAGAUUGCAUAGAGUUGAUGUCAAUACCUACAUGCUCGCCUGGUGGAUCAAAAUAAUUUUUGUAGAUAUCGAACUCCACAGCAACAAAAUGAUUAUCCGUUGUGUUUAGUUGCUGAUCAUUCCUUGUAAGACCUAGACUUCGACCUUGAGAGAGAUUAGGCGGAAGCUUUGAUCCUUCUGGCGCAAGAAAGAAAGCCAAUCCAUCUCCGUAUGCACGUCGACCUUGCGAAUCGAUGGAAAAAGAGAAAUGGGUGGUGAAGUCUGUAAGAUUCCCUGAGGCCUUGUCCCAAAGCUGCAUCGGUUUGUAAUACGUGGCUCGACCGAAAAUUAAACUCAUAUUAGCAUUUCUUAGAUUUUUGGUGAGCUGAACAGCUCCUUCUGCGGGCUAUGCGUCCUGCUCGUAUGAAAUGUUUCGGUCGCCAACAAUGAAGCUGGUGAAGUUGAAAGAUAAUCCACUCGCAGAAGGGAUUAUUAGUGUGAAGAAAGUUGAGAAAACAAAAGGAAGAAAUGGAACAGGAAGCUUUCCCAUGAAGGAAGUUGAAAUUGUAGUGCUGCAAUGCUUGGGGGUUAGGAAAAUUGCACAAUUUCUUUGGUUAAUAAGGGCGGGUAUAAGUGUGUCUGUGGCGUUACUUUGCACGGUAAUGAAAUGUUUAUUUCCAACCACUGCAUGGACCUAAAAGACUUGUUCUUGCUGUGGGCUGAAGUGGGAGCCUGUGUUCAUUAGCAUUAGUUUAAGAGUUGUAGGACUUUCAAGAUAGGCUGCCGUUUGAAUUACUUGAAACCUUCUUGGCAAUUCACUUGUCUCUGCCGCCUCUGCAGUGUGAACCAAGUCAUUAAUUAAUAAUUUCUUUGUUUGGUUUGUAAAUAAAAAAAAUAAAAUUUAUUCAACGUUGAAAAGAAAUAUUAUUUUUUAAGUGUUUAUAAUUAUAUGUUCUUACGUAAAUUAAAUGAAAAAAAUCACAUGAACUCUUCAAAUCUGCUUCCUAAUCCUAUUAUAUAAAUAUUUAUAAUAUUAAAAUAAAAUAUUUGGCACUUUUGAUAUUAUAAUUAUAUCUAUUAAAUUAAUUCUUUUUUGAACUUAUUUAUUUUAAUUUUCCUAAUUAAUUUUAAUAUUUAUAAUUGUCGGGAUAAAAUUAAAUAAACAAUUAUUUAAUUUAAUUUAAGAUAUAAUUAUUUUUUAAACAGUCAUAUAAUUUUAUUAACAAUCAUAAUAUUUUAUUAUAAUGUUUUAAAUUUAUAUGAACAUGUUAUUACACAGAAAAAAAUAUAUACAAAACAAAUAUAUUUUCUUUUUUUUUUCUUAUUCUUUCAAAGAUUUAGAAGGUUUAGUUGUAUCUUAAAAGUGUUGUAUCUGUAUGAGACAAAUAAAUAUUUUAAAAACAGUGUUUUCACACCUCACAACCAGCUUUAUAUUUGUUUCCAUUCAAAAAAAAAAAAGAAGGGGUUUACUUUACCUAAAAAAAAAAAAAAAAAAAAACCUAAAAGAAGAAGGGGUUUUACUUUACCUCUUUUCACAUUACUCUAUUCAUUUAAAUACUGUUUUCUCUCUCUAAUUUGUGUUUUUUUUCAAUUUUAAUUUUAUUUUUUAACAUUAUAUUUAUAAGAGAUUGUGCUUCAUAAUUUUUUUUAAUUCAUUUUUUAUAAAGUUAUCUCAGAUCCAUGAUCCGGACCGCAGGUUUGACUGGUUAACUCUAUUGACUUGACUUUUUUUUUUCUUUUUCUAAUUAGCGUUUUUUUGUCAAUUUUAUCAUUUAACAUUAGGUUAACUAAAAAUUAGAUUUCACUAUUUGUUUCGGUUUAGUUUCGAUGAUGUUAUCUUCAUCUUAUGACUCGAGUCACAAGGUUGUCGAGUUAAUCCUGGUUUACUUGAAUUGUUUUUUUGUGUUUUUUUUAAUUGAUUUUUUUUUUAAUUUUUUUUUCAACACUAAGUUAAUUGGGAAUUAAGUUUCAUAUUUAUCUCAAUUUUAUUUUUAUUAUGUUAUCCUGGUCUCAUAACUCGAAUCACUAGUUUAACAGGAGUUGACUCGGGUUAUUUGUUUGAUAUUUUUUUUAUUGAUUUUUUUUUCAAUUUUUUCCUUCAAUAUUGAGAUUAUUGAAAAUUAAGUUUCAUAAUUUAUUUUGAUUCGCUUUCUAUAGGGUUGUCUCAAUUUUUAUUAAAAAAAUCACAUCUUAAAUAUUUAUUUUGAGUGAAAUUGUAUUUUUACUUGUCAUUUAGAUUGUCUUUUUAGAUCCGCUAAGAUGAUCGAGUCAUAUUAAAUCAAUUUCUACAUAAUCUUUUUUAAAAAAUGUAAUAUAAAAAAAUAUGAGCAAUAAACAGAACAAUUUUUUUACAUUAAAAAAAUAUCCUACCCGUACAGUGUAUGUGUCAAAUGAUCUAGUGACGCACUGAAUUAUUGUUCUGGGGAAAAAACUAAACAGAUAUACUUACUAGAAAGAAAGGAGACCCACGGCAGAAGUAGAGCAGCACCUGCAAAGCUAGGAACGAACAUUUUUAGAGAGAACAACAAAAUAGAGAAGCACUUGAAGACACAAAAUAACACAGUAUAAGUGUAGCAAAAGGUUAGUAAAGUGUUGUCCUGCUCGCUACAAACAGGAAAUCAGAAAUGAUUAAUACAGAAUAGCUAAUAUCCAUUGUUAGGAGGAGGUUGCCAGUUCUCUCUAAAACUACUCCUAGGCAAUGAAGAAAAUGUCAUAAUAUGGGUACAUGUAAUGCAGCUACUCAAACCAAUUCGUGUAUUUUAUCAGGCAUUCUCCAACGAUUACUGUUAUCAAUUAGCCUAACCCAGUUUUUAUCCAACAAUAUUAUUGCUUCUUUUAAGGUUUGUUUUCGAUUAUUCAACAUCAUCCAAGUUCUUACAGAACAAUGAUGGGCUGCAUUUCAUUAUGUACCAGCCUAUUACGAAUGUUGAGAUUUUUGUUUCGAACUGAUGGUAGAAUUCAACAGUAUCUAAAGUUCAUCAUCCACGGCAUUAUCACCGAGAUAACCUUUCAAUCUCCCCUCUAUAUCUCCUUCUCGCUAACUCAGGAAGUAUUAUAGAAGCACCUGUUACAACACCAAAAACGAAGUUACUGUUACAAAUAAAAGUAAGAUGAUUGAUUAUCUUGUGCAGAAUAUGAAUGGAGUUGGAACUGUGAUUAGUGAACAUUUAUGCAGGGACUGCUUUAGUCCCAAACUGUUUUACUGAAUUUUCCAGAACUUUCAAAACUAUGUUUCUUUGCAUUACUAAAAAAAUUAAGAGAAAAAAACCUAUAAUAAGGCAGGACAAUUUUGAAAUAAUUAAACAAUUUCCAUUAACUGUUCAAAGUUGACAGCUAGCUUCAACAGGAAAAAUAAAAGACGAAGCUGGAAUUAUCCAGAACUAGAGUANNNNNNNNNNNNNNNNNNNNNNNNNNNNNNNNNNNNNNNNNNNNNNNNNNNNNNNNNNNNNNNNNNNNNNNNNNNNNNNNNNNNNNNNNNNNNNNNNNNNCACUUAAUUAUUGGCUUAAAGGGGUCACCUGAUGGGAAGUCCUACAAAUUCUGAGCUAAAGGUUCUUCCAAUACUCAUAGGAGGCUAUUUUUUUUUCAGGGUAACCAACUUCUAAACAAAGUUUUAUCACAUAUAUAUGACUAGAGAAGAUAGAAAGUAUCUUUCUAACCUAUGAAUUUAACACACGCUGGUACCUUGAAGAGAUAAUGCUCCAAAUAUUAUGCACAAAAUAUAGACAAGGUAAUCCUUACCAGG
rnacentral:lncRNA from 1 species